AUAGCACACCGUAUCGAGUCCACGUGCCGGAUUAUUGGCGUAAGCGAGCGCAGGCGGUUUGAUAAGUUGGAUGUCAAAGGCAAUGGCUCAACCAUUGUACGCAUCCAAAACUGUCAGACUUGAGUGCAGGAGAGGAGAGUGGAAUUCCAUGUGUAGCGGUGAAAUGCGUAGAUAUAUGGAGGAACACCAGUGGCGAAGGCGGCUCUCUGGCCUGUAACUGACGCUGAGGCUCGAAAGCGUGGGGAGCGAACAGGAUUAGAUACCCUGGUAGUCCACGCCGUAAACGAUGAGUGCUAAGUGUUGGAGGGUUUCCACCCUUCAGUGCUGCAGCAAACGCAUUAAGCACUCCGCCUGGGGAGUACGACCGCAAGGUUGAAACUCAAAGGAAUUGACGGGGGCCCGCACAAGCGGUGGAGCAUGUGGUUUAAUUCGAAGCAACGCGAAGAACCUUACCAGGUCUUGACAUCCUUCUGACCGCACUAGAGAUAGUGUUUCUCUUCGGAGCAGAAGUGACAGGUGGUGCAUGGUUGUCGUCAGCUCGUGUCGUGAGAUGUUGGGUUAAGUCCCGCAACGAGCGCAACCCUUAUGUUUAGUUACCAUCAUUGAGUUGGGGACUCUAGACAGACUGCCGGUGACAAACCGGAGGAAGGUGGGGAUGACGUCAAAUCAUCAUGCCCCUUAUGACCUGGGCUACACACGUGCUACAAUGGGGAGUACAACGAGCAGCGAACUAGUGAUAGUAAGCGAAUCUCUGAAAGCUCCUCUCAGUUCGGAUUGUAGGCUGCAACUCGCCUACAUGAAGCCGGAAUCGCUAGUAAUCGCGGAUCAGCACGCCGCGGUGAAUACGUUCCCGGGCCUUGUACACACCGCCCGUCACACCACGAGAGUUUGUAACACCCGAAGUCGGUGAGGUAACCUUUUAGGAGCCAGCCGCCGAAGUGCAUGAN
rnacentral:rRNA from 1 species